rnacentral:rRNA from 1 species
AGUGAACGCUGGCGGCAGGCCUAACACAUGCAAGUCGAACGGCAGCGCAAGAGAGCUUGCUCUCUGGGUGGCGAGUGGCGGACGGGUGAGGAAUGCAUCGGAAUCUGCCCAUUUGUGGGGGAUAACCUCGGGAAACCGGGACUAAUACCGCAUACGACCUACGGGUGAAAGCAGGGGAUCUUCGGACCUUGCGCAGAUGGAUGAGCCGAUGCCGGAUUAGCUAGUUGGAGGGGUAAAGGCCCACCAAGGCGACGAUCCGUAGCUGGUCUGAGAGGAUGAUCAGCCACACUGGGACUGAGACACGGCCCAGACUCCUACGGGAGGCAGCAGUGGGGAAUAUUGGACAAUGGGCGCAAGCCUGAUCCAGCCAUGCCGCGUGUGUGAAGAAGGCCUUCGGGUUGUAAAGCACUUUUGUUGGGAAAGAAAAGCAGCCGGUUAAUACCCGGUUGUCAUGACGGUACCCAAAGAAUAAGCACCGGCUAACUUCGUG